AUUGAACGCUGGCGGCAUGCUUUACACAUGCAAGUCGAACGGUAACAGGCCGCAAGGUGCUGACGAGUGGCGAACGGGUGAGUAAUGCAUCGGAACGUGCCCAGUCGUGGGGGAUAACUACUCGAAAGAGUAGCUAAUACCGCAUACGAUCUAUGGAUGAAAGCGGGGGACCGUAAGGCCUCGCGCGAUUGGAGCGGCCGCUGUCAGAUUAGGUAGUUGGUGGGGUUAAGGCUCACCAAGCCAACGAUCUGUAGCUGGUCUGAGAGGACGACCAGCCACACUGGGACUGAGACACGGCCCAGACUCCUACGGGAGGCAGCAGUGGGGAAUUUUGGACAAUGGGCGCAAGCCUGAUCCAGCAAUGCCGCGUGCAGGAAGAAGGCCUUCGGGUUGUAAACUGCUUUUGUACGGAACGAAACGGCUCUGGUUAAUACCCGGGGCUAAUGACGGUACCGUAAGAAUAAGCACCGGCUAACUACGUG
rnacentral:rRNA from 1 species